UCUUGACAUCCUUUGACCACUCUGGAGACAGAGCUUUCCCUUCGGGGACAAAGUGACAGGUGGUGCAUGGUUGUCGUCAGCUCGUGUCGUGAGAUGUUGGGUUAAGUCCCGCAACGAGCGCAACCCUUGAUUUUAGUUGCCAGCAUUUAGUUGGGCACUCUAAAGUGACUGCCGGUGCAAGCCGGAGGAAGGUGGGGAUGACGUCAAAUCAUCAUGCCCCUUAUGACCUGGGCUACACACGUGCUACAAUGGAUAGUACAAAGGGUCGCGAAGCCGCGAGGUGGAGCUAAUCCCAUAAAACUAUUCUCAGUUCGGAUUGUAGGCUGCAACUCGCCUACAUGAAGCCGGAAUCGCUAGUAAUCGUGGAUCAGCAUGCCACGGUGAAUACGUUCCCGGGCCUUGUACACACCGCCCGUCACACCACGAGAGUUUGUAACACCCGAAGUCGGUAGGGUAACCUUUAUGGAGCCAGCCGCCGAAGGUGGGACAGAUAAUUGGGGUGAAGUCGUAACAAGGUAGCCGUAUCGGAAGGUGCGGCUGGAUCACCUCCUUUCUAAGGAA
rnacentral:rRNA from 1 species